rnacentral:rRNA from 1 species
CUCUUCCUACGGGGGGCAGCAGUGGGGAAUAUUGGUCAAUGGACGAGAGUCUGAACCAGCCAAGUAGCGUGAAGGAUGACUGCCCUAUGGGUUGUAAACUUCUUUUAUAUGGGAAUAAAGUGAGCCACGUGUGGCUUUUUGUAUGUACCAUACGAAUAAGGAUCGGCUAACUCCGUGCCAGCAGCCGCGGUAAUACGGAGGAUGCGAGCGUUAUCCGGAUUUAUUGGGUUUAAAGGGUGCGUAGGCGGAUUUUUACGUCAGCGGUAAAAUGUCCGGGCUCAACCCGGGCCGGCCGUUGAAACUGG